rnacentral:rRNA from 1 species
GAUGUGAUUUGAGUAAUAAAAUGUCUGUUAUUAAACUAUUGUUUAUUUAAGUAAUUAAAGGAUUAUUUGUUUAUAGUAAAUUUAUUGAACUAAUAUUUUUAGAUAUAGAUAAUUAGUAUUGUGAAAGAAAUUUUUAAAUAUUAAAAAAGAAAAAAUUAUUUUUUGUACCUUGUGUAUCAGGGUUUAUUUAAAAAGUUCCAAAAUUUUGGUUUUCUCGAAUUUGGAAGAGCUAUUUAGUUAUGAUUUUUAUUGUGGCAAUAAUAUUGAUAAUAAUUAAAUCGAAGUGAAAUGUUAAUCGUUUCCAAAUAUAUCUAGUUUUUUGAGAAAGAAAUUUAAUUUCUUGCUGUUUAUGAAAAUAAUUUUUAUUGGUUAGAAUUAUUUUUAGCAGAAGUAAUAAUCUAGGGGUUGAGCUUUAGAUUAAAUUUAUAUAAUAAGUUUUUUUUAUUUUAAAUUAGUAGGAUUUGUAGUGUCUGCUUAGUGAUUUAUAUCUUGAUUUGUGAAAAAUAAGAUUUUUUAAAUUUGUUUAUAUUUUUUAUUGAAAUAUGAAUUUUAAUUUUGAUUUAUUCAGAAAUAAUGAUAAAAUUAGUAUAAUAAGUUUUUUUUAUUUUACAGAGUUUAAGGUUUAAUAAAGGAACUCGGCAAAAUUAAUUCUCACCUGUUUAUUAAAAACAUGGCCUUUUGAUUAUAAUUUAAGGUCUAACCUGCCCAAUGAGUUUUGAAUGGCCGCGGUAUACUGACCGUGCAAAGGUAGCAUAAUCAUUAGUUUUUUAAUUGAAAGCUUGUAUGAAAGGUUGAAUGAGGAAUUAACUGUCUCUAUUAAAAUUUAAUAGAAUUUUAUUAAUAUGUAAGAAGGCAUAUAUUUUUAUAAAAGACGAGAAGACCCUAUAGAGUUUUAUAGUUAAGGAUAAAAGAACAAUUGGAAUAUUUAAUUUAAUUUUUUUUGACUAUUUAGUUGGGGUGAUUGGAAUAAUUUGAUUAACUUUUCUUUUUAAAUAAAUACUGAUAAGUAUUUUAUUGAUCCUUUUUAAAGAUUAAAAGAAAAAAUUACCUUAGGGAUAACAGCGUUAUUUUUCUAGAGAGUUCUUAUCGAAAGAAGAGUUUGCGACCUCGAUGUUGGAUUAAAAUUAAGGUUUGGUGAAGGGGCUAAACUUUUAGGUCUGUUCGACCUUUAAAAUUUUACAUGAUCUGAGUUUAAACCGGCGUGAGCCAGGUUGGUUUCUAUCUUUAUUAUUUUAAUAUUUUUUAGUACGAAAGGACCAAAGAUUUACUAUAAUAGUUUUAUGAAGAAUAUUAUUGUUACUUUGGCAGAAAAGUGUGAUAGAUUUAGAAUCUUUUUAUAUAGCUUAUAGCUAUAGGUAA